rnacentral:rRNA from 1 species
GAGUAGUAUCUACAAAUAUUACCAAAAACAUCGUUAAAAUACUUCUAUGAGAGGGUUUCAAGUUUGCGUCAUCAAAAGAAAAAGACUAGAAAAGGAAUACGUAGAACAAGAACCUUUUUAAAGCGUAUCAGCCAACCCGGCUUACGAAUGUAUACCAACUAUCAAGGAAUUCCUAAAGUUUUGGGUGGAAUGGGAUUUGCUAUUCUUUCUACUUCUCGAGGAAUAAUGAGAGAUCGAGAAGCUCGACUAAACAGAAUAGGGGGAGAAGUCAUAUUUUAUAUAUGGUAA